rnacentral:rRNA from 1 species
GACGAACGCUGGCGGCGUGCUUAACACAUGCAAGUCGAACGGUGAAGCUCCAGCUUGCUGGAGUGGAUCAGUGGCGAACGGGUGAGUAACACGUGAGCAACCUGCCCCUGACUCUGGAAUAAGCGCUGGAAACGGCGUCUAAUACUGGAUACGAGAAGGGUCCGCAUGGGCACUUUCUGGACAGUUUUUCGGUUGGGGAUGGGCUCGCGGCCUAUCAGCUUGUUGGUGAGGUAAUGGCUCACCAAGGCGACGACGGGUAGCCGGCCUGAGAGGGCGACCGGCCACACUGAGACUGAGACACGGCCCAGACUCCUACGGGAGGCAGCAGUGGGGAAUAUUGCACAAUGGGCGAAAGCCUGAUGCAGCGACGCCGCGUGAGGGAUGACGGCCUUCGGGUUGUAAACCUCUUUCAGCAGGGAAGAAGCGAAAGUGACGGUACCUGCAGAAGAAGCACCGGCUAACUACGUG